GGGGGCGGGGCCGGGCGGGAGUCCAUGCGCAUGCGCUCGGUUCUCCAGCAAAAGCAGGGCCUGGGGACUGAGAUUGGCUCCGAGUUCGGUUAAAAUAAGCCAGCCCCUGGGUUUGCCUACGGCAGAAAUCAGUUCAAGUCCUUGAGUAUGCGAGGCAAGCGGCGGCACCACUGAGCUAAACCCGCGGCCCAGAUGAUGAUAAUCAUAUUCAAGAACUGCCAGAAGGUUUCGACAGGUGUAAUGAGGUCUCAGAACAGUUGUAAUGCAAGGCGGGGAGAUGGAAAUUAUCAUCAGAGGAAGAUAUCUUAAGCCAGGGGCCCCUAGCCUCCAGACCACAGAUCAAUAGGGGUUCACAGAAGGAGGUUGUUGUGAGGACCCAGCGAAGUGGUACGUGGAGAUUCCUCAGGACAGUGCCUGGUACCCGGGAAGUGUUCCACAAAUGCUCGCUCUGGUGGCUGGCAUGCCAAGAUGGACAGCAAAGCUCAAGUCCCUUGGACAUUUCCUUCCCUUGCAUCCUGCUCAUGCCUCAGUUUCCCUUUCCCUUUCUACUCAGUAAACUCCUAUUCAUUUUUUUUAGUGGCUUAAAGAAACAAGCACUGCUUAUUUCUCCAGAUCUCAUGGGCCGAUGGGUGGCUCUCCU